CAGUGGUGGUAUUUCCAAUUUUCUAUUUGUGGGACUUGGAUAAGCUUCAAUAUUUAUUUAUUUAUUUUUUUUUUAAAGAAAUAGAGAGGAGAAGAGGAGGCUGAGAUCUGCCCUCAUUCCAAGGUGUAAUUAUUGGGAAACAUGUCAGAGGCAUAUCAAAGUCUGGUGGUAACUGUAUUCUUAUUAAACAUUAUUCUUAGAAAUUUACAAAUUUUAUAAUGAAACCAGUGUAUUUCUGAAUAUGAACUGCCAACUAUCGAAUUUAUCAUUUCG
rnacentral:misc_RNA from 1 species